CAGCCGCCGCGGUAAUACGUAGGUGGCAAGCGUUAUCCGGAUUUACUGGGUGUAAAGGGCGUGUAGGCGGACUUGUAAGUCAAAUGUGAAAACCCCGGGCUUAACCCGGGAGGUGCAUUUGAAACUACGAGCCUUGAGAAUCGGAGAGGAUAGUGGAAUUCCUAGUGGAGUGGUAAAAUACGUAGAGAUUAGGAGGAACACCGGUGGCGAAGGCGACUAUCUGGCCGAUAACUGACGCUGAGGCGCGAAAGCGUGGGGAGCAAACAGGAUUAGAUACCCUGGUAGUCCACGCCGUAAACGAUGGAUACUAGGUGUAGAGGGUAUCGACCCCUUCUGUGCCGCAGUCAACACAAUAAGUAUCCCACCUGGGGAGUACGGCCGCAAGGCUGAAACUCAAAGGAAUUGACGGGGGCCCGCACAAGCAGUGGAGUAUGUGGUUUAAUUCGAGGCAACGCGAAGAACCUUACCAGGAUUUGACAUCCUCUGACAGCUGUAGAGAUACAGAAUUCCCUUUUGGGACAGAGAGACAGGUGGUGCAUGGCC
rnacentral:rRNA from 1 species